rnacentral:rRNA from 1 species
AAUCAACGCUGGCGGCGUGCCUCAGACAUGCAAGUCGAACGCGAAAGGCCCCUUCGGGGGCCGAGUAGAGUGGCGUCCGGGUGAGUAACACGUGGGUAAUCUACCUUCGGGUGGGGAAUAACGACCGGAAACGGUCGCUAAUACCGCAUAAUGCAGCGGCACCUAAUGGUGACAGUUGUUAAAGCGGGGGAUCGCAAGACCUCGCGCCUGAAGAGGAGCCCGCGGCGGAUUAGCUAGUGGCAGGGUAACGGCCUACCAAGGCGACGAUCCGUAGCCGGCCUGAGAGGGCGGUCGGCCACACUGGCACUGACACACGGGCCAGACUCCUACGGGAGGCAGCAGUCGGGAAUUUGGACAAUGGGGGCAACCCUGAUCCAGCCAUGCCGCGUGCGGGAAGAAGGCC